rnacentral:rRNA from 1 species
UACGUAGGGUGCGAGCGUUGUCCGGAAUUAUUGGGCGUAAAGAGCUCGUAGGCGGUCUGUCGCGUCUGCUGUGAAAUCCCGAGGCUCAACCUCGAGAUGUCGGCGGAAACCACUUGGCUAGAGUCCGGAAGAGGAGAGUGGAAUUCCUGGUGUAGCGGUGAAAUGCGCAGAUAUCAGGAAGAACACCUAUGGCGAAGGCAGCUCUCUGGGACGGUACUGACGCUGAGACGCGAAAGCGUGGGGAGCGAACAGG